CACAAAAUUAAAACCUCGUGGCCAUCUGCAAUCGACCCCAAAACUUGUGGAGUAACCUGCAGUUAACUCGAGAUAAAAAUGCUCACAUUGAUGUAAUUAACUGAGAGAGAGACCUAUCUGAAAAGCAAAUAAGCAAAGCAAACGGUGCUGUGGUGUGCACGCUUCUAUGAUUGCCUAUGGUAGCACGGCAUGCAAAUGCAAUACUUCAAAGUUAAGCAACCACCCCCACCUGCAAUUCUAUUUAGCAAACACUGCCUACCACUUCCCUUUCAGACUUCAACUGCAAAAAAUUACCAACAAAUUAAUCAAAUUUUCUUAUGGCACCCAUCACCAACCUCGUCUGCUUCCUUCUCACUCACUUUGGUUUUCUCUGGACACCCACGUUGCUCCACAACUUCAGGUAUGAAAACCUCACUGAGCUUGAGCGAUAUACAUUCCAAAGUUACAGCUACCGGCAUUUGAUUGUUGUUCAAUCUUAAUCAAGACAUAUAUGUGUGUGUUCAUAUGUAUACAUGCUCAAAGAAUCAAAGCUCCACAUGACCGGCUGUGUGUGAUCCCCGUCGAUGAGUGAUCAUGAAGGCCGUUCAUCGGUUUUGGAGCUGCAGAUGGUGUUGUGAUCAUAGCAAAACAUCACCGUAAAUGUACUGUUAUGAUCAGGAGAAAUUAUUGUAUGUAUCAUAUACGCAACGUGGCAUUCAUUUCUGUUGUCAUAUGGUGCAUUGCAAUGUAGUUUUUAACUUUGUUUUUGUGGGUCUUAUUAUUUGCUUUAAUUGGGAUUGAUAUUGAAUGUAACAACUUUUUAUUUAGUACAUAUUCUACACUAA